rnacentral:rRNA from 1 species
UACGGAGGGGGCUAGCGUUGUUCGGAUUUACGGGGCGUAAAGCGCGCGUAGGCGGACCUGCAAGUCGGGGGUGAAAGCCCGAGGCUCAACCUCGGAACUGCCUUCGAUACUGCGGGUCUCGAGUCCGGGAGAGGUGAGUGGAAUUCCUAGUGUAGAGGUGACAUUCGUAGAUAUUAGGAAGAACACCAGUGGCGAAGGCGGCUCACUGGCCCGGUACUGACGCUGAGGUGCGAAAGCGUGGGGAGCAAAUAGG